ACUCAUCUCAGGAUGAAAUCUCUUCCGAAGAUUUCCUAUAGGGUCACCCCUACUAAAGCAAGGUAAUCCACUAUCUAGCAUCAUCAAAACUGUAUUUAUAAUACCAUCCAUGUAGCGACGUGCAGCGAGGUAACCCUUGACACACAAGCUUACAAACAGGUGCCAUGUCUCGCUUUUCAUUGCUCCAGAUGGGUCGAUUAAUUGGGUCAUCUCAUGACUCAGCUUGAAGUGAGCACUUUCAAAUCGCAUAUUUCCACCAGGAGAAAUUUCCAGGAUAAAACCAAAGUCAAUAUGGACAAGCCUACCAGCACUGUCAAUCAGAAGGUUCCCAUUAUGUCUAUCCUUAGGUUGAAGCAACAAGCUAGCAACUGCAUAACCUGCACUGCUUACGAUGAAAUUCUCACGAGCAGCUUCAAAACCAGGAGAACCAACAGGUCCAUAGUCCUGUUGGAAAAUUUCAUAUAGACCACCAUCAGUCGUCUCACCCAUCUGACUUCUG
rnacentral:misc_RNA from 1 species